AUCCAGCUGACGAGUCCCACAAAGGACGACACGAGAGUCCUUGAU
rfam:Schistosoma haematobium scaffold1345_4, whole genome shotgun sequence.